rnacentral:rRNA from 1 species
UACGAAGGGGGCUAGCGUUGUUCGGAUUUACUGGGCGUAAAGCGCGCGUAGGCGGACAUUUAAGUCAGGGGUGAAAUCCCAAGGCUCAACCUUGGAACUGCCUUUGAUACUGGAUGUCUGGAGUUCGGGAGAGGUGAGUGGAAUUCCGAGUGUAGAGGUGAAAUUCGUAGAUAUUCGGAGGAACACCAGAAGCGAAGGCGGCUCACUGGCCCGAUACUGACGCUGAGGCGCGAAAGCGUGGGGAGCAAACAGGAUUAGAAACCCCCGUAGUCC